rnacentral:rRNA from 1 species
UACGAAGGGGGCUAGCGUUGUUCGGAAUUACUGGGCGUAAAGCGCGCGCAGGCGGCCCAUCAAGUCAGGGGUGAAAGCCCGGAGCUCAGCUCCGGAAUUGCCUUUGAAACUGGUGGGCUUGAGUACGGGAGAGGUGAGUGGAAUUCCCAGUGUAGAGGUGAAAUUCGUAGAUAUUGGGAAGAACACCGGUGGCGAAGGCGGCUCACUGGCCCGUUUCUGACGCUCAGGCGCGACAGCGUGGGGAUCAAACAGG